CCAGAGACAUAAAGAUGGCUUCUCAGGGGCUUCUGCUGUGUGUCUUACUGAUCUCUAUUCAUGGAUCCUGUGGAUGGAUUGUACUGACCCAAUCUCCAGAUUAUAUCUCUGUGUCCCCAGGAGAUACAGCCACCGUCACAUGUACAUCCAGUAUAGGUACAUCGAGCAAAUACAUACACUGGUACCAACAGAAAUCAGGACAACAACCAAAUCUUCUUAUAUAUGAAGACAGCAAAAGAUAUACAGGAGUCCCAGACCGGUUCACUGGAUCUGUAUCGAAAACGUCUGGAAUUCUUACAAUCAGAGGAGUGACAGAAGAUGAUAUAGCAGAUUAUUACUGUCAGCAGAGUGAUAGCAGCGGUGAAGUGAAGCAUCUUGGGAGGAAGAACUCCAUUACAGACUGUGCUAAGAAGAGAGAGACUACAUACUCCAUUGCCCCAUGUGGCAGCAUCGCUGGUAAGCUUAUGGACUUGCCCUACAGUAUUUCUCAGCCACAGCUUCUUCCAGCUACACAGACUCUUAUGUUCCAGAGCAGCAGCUGCACUUUUCACCGCGUGCUUAUUACCUAUGACUCAAUAAAUCUACAGACUUCACCAUACAGUCUUGGCUAUUGA